rnacentral:sRNA from 1 species
UUCAACCAUCACGGCACUAUUGGGUUGGAACACCCAAGGUCGAGGUGAUUGAA